GGAACACAGGUGCUGCAUGGCUGUCGUCAGCUCGUGUCGUGAGAUGUUGGGUUAAGUCCCGCAACGAGCGCAACCCUCGCCCUUAGUUGCCAUCAUUCAGUUGGGCACUCUAAGGGGACUGCGGGUGAUAAGCCGCGAGGAAGGUGGGGAUGACGUCAAGUCCUCAUGGCCCUUACAGGUUGGGCUACACACGUGCUACAAUGGCGGUGACAAUGGGAUGCAAUGGAGCAAUCCUGCGCAAAUCUCAAAAAGCCGUCUCAGUUCGGAUUGGGGUCUGCAACUCGACCCCAUGAAGUUGGAAUCGCUAGUAAUCGCAGAUCAGCACGCUGCGGUGAAUACGUUCCCAGGCCUUGUACACACCGCCCGUCACACCAUGGGAGUUGGGAGCGCCCGAAGCCAGUGAGCUAACCAGUAAUGGAGGCAGCUGUC
rnacentral:rRNA from 1 species